rnacentral:rRNA from 1 species
AGUAAUGUCUGGGAAACUGCCUGAUGGAGGGGGAUAACUCCUGGAAACGGUAUCUAAUACCGCAUAAUGUCGCAAGACAAAAGUGGGGGACCUUCGGGCCUCAUGCCAUCAGAUGUGCCCAGAUGGGAUUAGCUAGUAGGUGGGGUAACGGCUCACCUAGGCGACGAUCCCUAGCUGGUCUGAGAGGAUGACCAGCCACACUGGAACUGAGACACGGUCCAGACUCCUACGGGAGGCAGCAGUGGGGAAUAUUGCACAAUGGGCGCAAGCCUGAUGCAGCCAUGCCGCGUGUGUGAAGAAGGCCUUCGGGUUGUAAAGCACUUUCAGCGGGGAGGAAGGCGUUGAGGUUAAUAACCUUGUCGAUUGACGUUACCCGCAGAAGAAGCACCGGCUAACUCCGUGCCAGCAGCCGCGGUAAUACGGAGGGUGCAAGCGUUAAUCGGAAUUACUGGGCGUAAAGCGCACGCAGGCGGUCUGUCAAGUCGGAUGUGAAAUCCCCGGGCUCAACCUGGGAACUGCAUUCGAAACUGGCAGGCUAGAGUCUUGUAGAGGGGGGUAGAAUUCCAGGUGUAGCGGUGAAAUGCGUAGAGAUCUGGAGGAAUACCGGUGGCGAAGGCGGCCCCCUGGACAAAGACUGACGCUCAGGUGCGAAAGCGUGGGGAGCAAACAGGAUUAGAUACCCUGGUAGUCCACGCCGUAAACGAUGUCGAUUUGGAGGUUGUGCCCUUGAGGCGUGGCUUCCGGAGCUAACGCGUUAAAUCGACCGCCUGGGGAGUACGGCCGCAAGGUUAAAACUCAAAUGAAUUGACGGGGGCCCGCACAAGCGGUGGAGCAUGUGGUUUUAAUUCGAUGCAACGCGAAGAACCUUACCUGGUCUUGACAUCCACAGAACUUUCCAGAGAUGGAUUGGUGCCUUCGGGAACUGUGAGACAGGUGCUGCAUGGCUGUCGUCAGCUCGUGUUGUGAAAUGUUGGGUUAAGUCCCGCAACGAGCGCAACCCUUAUCCUUUGUUGCCAGCGGUUCGGCCGGGAACUCAAAGGAGACUGCCAGUGAUAAACUGGAGGAAGGUGGGGAUGACGUCAAGUCAUCAUGGCCCUUACGACCAGGGCUACACACGUGCUACAAUGGCAUAUACAAAGAGAAGCGACCUCGCGAGAGCAAGCGGACCUCAUAAAGUAUGUCGUAGUCCGGAUUGGAGUCUGCAACUCGACUCCAUGAAGUCGGAAUCGCUAGUAAUCGUAGAUCAGAAUGCUACGGUGAAUACGUUCCCGGGCCUUGUACACACCGCCCGUCACACCAUGGGAGUGGGUUGCAAAAGAAGUAGGUAGCUUAACCUUCGGGAGGGCGCUUACCACUUUGUGAUUCAUGACUGGG